GGAGGGACUUCUUUUCGGACGAUCUGUGAGAGCAAAGCAGACAAGAUGUAGGCAGGGGACUGAUAGUUCUGGUGGCGGAAUCCACCACUGGAAGAUUUCGAACAUAGAAUAGUUGAUGAAUUUAGGAUGAUAGAGUCCGUGCCCAGCGAUUGUGUGAUCUGUUGAUUCUAAACUAAGAUUGUCGGGUGUAUUCCAUUCUGCAACGAUUCAACUGAGCGCCAGUGAAAGUAUUAACCACUCUCUGGGACUUCGGAGGAGCCAUCUUCUGCCUGAUUGUGACACCUGCCCCGUGAUUCCUCCUUCUGUCCAUUCCAACCCAGCAGGUCCAGAGUUUUCACAGACAUAUACUUGCUAGACAUCAUUAAUGCAAGCAGCUCACCAUGCUCUGACCACUCAGUAUGAGGAGUAUAAAGUCCUUUCAUAUCUGCUAUCACCCAGAAAGACUGCAGUUAUUUCCCGUUAAUCUCUAUCAAGAGCAAACCUGUUUCCGAAGCACAUUCUCAACCUGGCUCCUUGCUCCUCAGGGUUAUUCUCUCGUUCUGGCUGAAAUGUCAUUGUCUUGCGGGUAGUCUUGAUGUCUUUUUGCACAAAUGUGAAUUUUCCCUUCCUGAGUAUCACGUAAUUUUGAUUGUAUUUCACCAGGUAUGUAUUUUACUUCAAAAUGAUCCAAACUUAUAUUUUAACCAAACACGGGGGAAUUUCAUUGCUGCCACAUCUAGCAGACGGCACAAAAUAGCACCUGGUUGGAGGAACUAAUUAGGGAUGUUUCUGCACAACGAAUCAGAAGAAUGAAAAGACGUGGAAACCUCUCCUGUCUGAAAUUCAAGCUCACACUCCUGUCCUCUGUUCCUUUCCUUAAAGCUCCACUGGAUGCGGGACUAUUUUUCAAAAUUAAAGUGACCAACACUGGAGAUAAAGUAGUUGGGAUUAAACCUGAAGGCUUAUUUCACCACACUAAAGGAAAGAAAGACCACUGUAUUGUGUCUUACGAAGGCCAUGGUAGGAGGAUGGAGUGUCUGCUGAUCUAUAUGAACAAGGAGCGGCUGGAAAACCAGAAACGUAACUUCUGGAAGUUGGAGCUAUCCAUCUGGCUUACUUACUGAGAACUGUAGGCACCCGCACUGCAAGCAUUAUUUAUAUACUAAGUAAUGCAUUUAAGAUUUAUGAGGAAUGAGAAGUCACACCACACCUAGAAGGGUGUGAACACGGAAUGCCUGCACUCAGGGAGAGAUCUGCGUCAGCUGUAUUUUUGAUCAAAAGUUGUUCCCAUAGUGACAACACUCUCCCCCUUAUCAGUAUUUCUUCUUGUUACUUGGUUACCAAAAUAUGAAAUGAAUACUGAAUGCAGGUCAUGAGCAUGAGAGCGAAUAUAAAGCUAACUAGUUAUCUAGGUCUAACUCUGUCAUGAUUUUUCUUUAUAUUUUUGGUGGUGGUUAAAUACAUAAAUAUAUUCAGUGGUCUAAGUAUAGAACCCAAUAUGAAGCCCACAGCCUCCAAAUGCCUAUUGUAACUUCCCAGAAGUUCACUGAGGUAUACAAACCUUAGGUCUAAUAAAUUCACUGUGUAAUUUUUUUAUUUACAUAAUUGUUAAAAUAAAAUUUAUUAAAAUGUA
rnacentral:lncRNA from 1 species